rnacentral:RNase_P_RNA from 1 species
ACCGCAGACCGCUCUAUCGCUCUUUUUUAGAAAAGAGAGGAAAGUCCGGGCAACAUAGGACACCAUGCUUCUUAACGGGAAGACAGGCGAAAGUUUGUAUAAAAGAUAACAGAAAAUAACCGUCCGGCUAUGCCGGAUAAGGGUGAAAAGGCGAGGUAAGAGCUCACCGAAUUUGGACGGAAUUCCGAAUUCGUAUCUUUCAUGGGUUGCAAGGUCAAAUAUAUUAUGGCAAACAGUAAUGUUUACGAGGCUGUCCGUCUUGUCUUCGAUUUUUCGAUAGCCAUAAGGGGUAGACUGCUGUUGAUCGGAACAGCAAUGUUCCGGCUAGAUAAAUGAUAGGGAUUUUCGGUUCGCCGAAAAGACAGAACCCGGCUUACACGUCUGCUUAUUUU